GACGAACGCUGGCGGCGUGCUUAACACAUGCAAGUCGUACGGUAAGGCCCUUUCGGGGGUACACGAGUGGCGAACGGGUGAGUAACACGUGAGUAACCUGCCCACAACUUUGGGAUAACGCUAGGAAACUGGUGCUAAUACUGGAUAUGUGCUCCUGCUGCAUGGUGGGGGUUGGAAAGCUCCGGCGGUUGUGGAUGGACUCGCGGCCUAUCAGCUUGUUUGUGGGGUAGUGGCCUACCAAGGCGGCGACGGGUAGCCGGCCUGAGAGGGUGACCGGCCACAUUGGGACUGAGAGACGGCCCAGACUCCUACGGGGGGCAGCAGUGGGGAAUAUUGCACAACGGGCGCAAGCCUGAUGCAGCAACGCCGCGUGCGGGAUGACGGCCUUCGGGUUGUAAACCGCUUUCAGCAGGGACGAAGCUUUUUGUGACGGUACCUGCAGAAGAAGCACCGGCUAACUACGUG
rnacentral:rRNA from 1 species